rnacentral:rRNA from 1 species
AGUAAUAUAUCGGAACGUACCCAGUAGUGGGGGAUAACUAUCCGAAAGGAUGGCUAAUACCGCAUACGACCUGAGGGUGAAAGGGGGGGAUCGCAAGACCUCUCGCUAUUGGAGCGGCCGAUAUCAGAUUAGCUAGUUGGUGGGGUAAAGGCCUACCAAGGCAACGAUCUGUAGUUGGUCUGAGAGGACGACCAGCCACACUGGGACUGAGACACGGCCCAGACUCCUACGGGAGGCAGCAGUGGGGAAUUUUGGACAAUGGGCGCAAGCCUGAUCCAGCAAUGCCGCGUGCAGGAAGAAGGCCUUCGGGUUGUAAACUGCUUUUGUCAGGGAAGAAAUCCUCUAGGUUAAUACCCUUGGGGGGAUGACGGUACCUGAAGAAUAAGCACCGGCUA